rnacentral:tRNA from 1 species
GGGCGGCAAGUUUAAGAGGCUGAAACACUGCCGAGGUGCACCGACGCAGAGAGGCGGGUUCGAUCCCCGUGCCGCCCG